CUCCCUCUCCGUCCUUGUUCAAGCCCCUGCCCCCAAUCCCCGAGCCCGCAGAAGGUGUGGGUUGGGUGGCAUUGGGUGAAGUCAGAAUAAACACUUUCAGAAAGCCCCUAGCUUCACGUCUUAGGAGUCUCCCAACGUUCUGGACUAGGGUUUUAUGACCCCAGCUUCUCUAUUUUCUAGAACUCCUGAGCUGAGAAAACCGGAGGGAGGAAGCCCUUGUCUAGAACCGUUUCAUGCGUCAAUUAUAACACGUCAGAGCCUGGGCCCUCCUUCUGGGGAAAGAUUAACAAAGCCUUAGUUCCCUUGCUCCUGGAUUAACCAGUGGUUAGUGGAGAUGCGAGAAAAGACGCUAAUGCUGGCAAGGCAAUAACAUGGACUUCCUCGCCUUAUUCCUCUUUUCAUCAGAGAUGGCAAAACCAGCAGCUCCUUCUGCCUCGAGUUGCUUACUGAACUGAAAGGAAAGGAGUGUACACAAAGAAGCCAUAGGAACAAAAGCCAGCUGGUGGUGCGCAGGUAUAUCUCCACAAGCGUCCCGCACCGUUAAGAGACAGAACCACGGGGACUUGCUGGCCUCAGUCUAGCUCCAAGUUCAGUCUCAAGGGAACAAGGUGCAGACCAGAGAAUACCAAAGGGUGCCAUGUCUUGCCUAUAAUGUGUUUGGAAUUCUUUGAGGCAAUGAAUGAAGCAAAAGAUGAUGAGAAGCAGAAUGAUGAGGUCUGGAAGACUACACUGCUCCACCAGCAAGGGUGGUGGGAAGGAAGGGGCUACAGCGACUGAGAAGGUGUUCAAUCCUGGAGAGUGGGUCCCACACUAAGUGGCUGAACGUCUGGACACCUGGAAGACACUGGGAUGACAGCUGUCGUCCACAAGAGAGAGGACGAGGCAUCACCCAGAAAGGGAGGAGAGAGUCACCUAAAGUAGGAAGCCCAAGACUGGCAUUGGUCCAGGUGGCUACACCCUACCAGAAGCUAGCCAUAUGGAAGUCAGGAGAGAUGUGCCAGCCAUAAAACCUGGUAUUCGGUGCUACUCAGAAAGCCAAAGCAGGAGAAUCACCUGAGUCCAGUAGUUCAACAUGUCGACCCUGAUUCUUAAGAAUUAAUUAGUUAAUUCAAGGAAGAAAAAAAACGCAGAGCCUCUGGGGGCCUUUAUGUUUGAAGAACACCUGGGUGUGGGCUGGGGAGGUAGCUUGGUCAGUAAAGUGCUCCAUGUGCCUCCACCCCCUUAUGCACACAACAAAGCAAAAGGAAACAAAGUAGCCGGUGAAGGGGGCUAAACCAGAGGAUAUGGCAGAACUGGGCCUCCGCACUGUGCCAGGCAAUGUGCUAAGAUCCUUCCUUAGUUCACUGGCGGUCAAUUCCUCCUCCUGCCUGGUCAAUUUACACUGUGGAGGUUAGGGAUUGAAAGUCUUCAGGCCUAAAGGCAAUUGCCCUCACCUGCUGGCCUCUCUUCUGCCCUACAGAUAAGGAAACUGGCCUGACAGUGUAGAGUAGCAUUCCCAGAGCCAGUUAGGACUGGCUUAGAGAUACUUUGUUUGCUUACUUUUUUUUUUCUUAGACAAGAUCUCUCUAUGUAGUUCUGACUGUCCUGAAACUCACUAUG
rnacentral:sRNA from 1 species